CGGCAAGAGCUCAAAUUUGAAAGCUGGCUCCUUCGGGGUCCGCAUUGUAAUUUGCAGAGGAUGCUUCGGGAGCGGUCCCCAUCUAAGUGCCCUGGAACGGGCCGUCAUAGAGGGUGAGAAUCCCGUAUGGGAUGGGGUGCCCGCGCCCGUGUGAAGCUCCUUCGAC
rnacentral:rRNA from 1 species